UCUGCCACUAGGAAGAAACAAACCACACAGCUCCAGGAAAACAAUCCAUCAUUUUGUCAUAACAUUUCCAUUUCAAAGACUUCCUUUCCAAGCAGCUCCGCGGGCUAAUGCUUCCUCUUAUUAGCAAGAGAACUGGCAAGGAGUGCUAUCAAGACUAAACACCAGCCCGUUCAGGGACAUUCUGAAGACAGGCUGUGGAUGCGAGACCUGGUAGAUGACAGAAAUGCGCCCGGAAGGCGGCUAGUGUGGAGAGCAUCACAGGCAGAACACUGGCCUGGGUUAACAGCAGGACCAAGGCCACAGAUCACCGUGCAGGCCACACCCAGAGGACCCCAGGAUGGGGAUGCUAUGCCAGGCUUACUGUGUCCUCACCAGCUUCUGACAUGGAGCACCACCAGGGCCAGGGAAAAGCCAGUCAAGAGGAGGCAGUACCAGCCCUGAGGAGAUGACUCAGUCAAUAAGUCCUCCCUGGGAACUCGACAGCUGGCCCCUGACCUCAACUGCCAGCCUCACAGCACACCAGCACGAAGAUGCCCUGGGCACUGAUGGUCAGUGUGUGCCCUAAGAAAGAACUGGACACUGCCCGGGGUUCCAGUCACCACAGAUCAGCAGCAGCGUUGGACCCUGGACCCUUCGGGGAGCUCCUGCAUUUCCCAUCCUUGUCUGCAACAGCAGUGAAGCCCUACUCGUUGUUAACCUGGAGGCAUCCUCUCCACGGCCUGAGUUUCCUUGGCAGCCCCAACACCACACCCUUGCCUCUAAUCCUCAGAUGGCCUCCUCUAGAAAGCUCUAGAGUGGGAAGACAGGUGGACAACACAUGCCUAGUCUCCUUCACCUCAGCUUGAAAUAGCCCUUCCCUUGGUGAAAGUUCCUACCAGACAACCAUAGCCCUAUCCCUCCCCAGCUCAUUUGAUCACAGCUCUGCCCACACAGUACAUGGCAGACAAAGCCCAACCCCAUAUUAGUGCGGAGCUUCAGUACCAUUAAAAACAAGAGAAAAC